CUAUAUGUACCCUGUAGAACCGAAUUUGUGUGGAGUACAAGCAUUCGCAAAUACGUCUCUACAGGAAUACAUGGG
rnacentral:pre_miRNA from 1 species